rnacentral:rRNA from 1 species
GACGAACCGUGCGAACGUUGUUCGGAAUCACUGGGCUUAAAGGGCGCGUAGGCGGGUUCGCAAGUCUGUGGUGAAAGCCUCCAGCUUAACUGGAGAAGUGCCGUGGAUACUGCGAAUCUUGAGGAGGGUAGGGGCGUCUGGAACGGUCGGUGGAGCGGUGAAAUGCGUUGAUAUCGACCGGAACUCCGGUGGCGAAGGCGAGGCGCUGGACCCUUUCUGACGCUGAGGCGCGAAAGCCAGGGGAGCAACGGG